AUAAAAUAAUUAUGUUUUUGAAAAUUUAUUAUAAAUUUAUUUUACAUAUAAAUUUUAGUGUAUAAUUUUAAUUAUUUUAAUAAUAAUUAAUUUAAUUUUAGUAGUAAUUAAUAUUAAAAAUUUAAGAAAUUAAGAUUUAGUAAUAUAAAAAUUAAUAACUAAUUUUGUGCCAGCAGUUGCGGUUAAACAAAAGUUAAAUUAAAUUAUUUCAGUAUAUAAUAAAUAAUUAAAUUAUUAAAUUAAAUAUUAAAUUAUUAAGUGAAAUUUUAAUUUAAUUAAAUUUUAUUUAAAAAUUAUGAUUUAAUAAAUUUUAAUAUAAACUAGGAUUAGAUACCCUAUUAUUAAAAAUUUAAUUUAUAAUACUAAAAUAGUAAAUAAUAAUUUAUUGAAACUUAAAUAAUAUGGCGGUAUUUUAGUUCAUUUAGAGGAAUCUGUCUAAUAAUUGAUAAUCCACGAAUAAAUUUACUUAAUUUAUAAUUUUGUAUAUCAUUGUUAAAAAAAUAUUUUUUAGGGAUAAUAAUAUUUAAGAAUUAAAAUUAAAAAUUAAAUCAGAUCAAGAUGCAGAAUAUAAUUAAGAAUAUGAUGGAUUACAUUAAAUAUAUUUAAAUGAAUAAUUUUAUUGUAAUAAAAAUUUGAAGGUGGAUUUAAAUGUAAUUUUAAUUAAUUUAUUAAAAUGAUUAAAAAUUAAAAUAUGUACAUAUUGCCCGUCACUUUCAUUUAAAAAUUGAAAUAAGUCGUAACAAAGUAGAGGUACUGGAAAGUGUUUCUAGAAAGA
rnacentral:ncRNA from 1 species